rnacentral:rRNA from 1 species
UCUCCUGGAAAACGGGUGGUAAUGCCGGAUGCUCCAUCACACCGCAUGGUGUGUUGGGAAAGCCUUUGCGGCAUGGGAUGGGGUCGCGUCCUAUCAGCUUGAUGGCGGGGUAACGGCCCACCAUGGCUUCGACGGGUAGCCGGCCUGAGAGGGCGACCGGCCACAUUGGGACUGAGAUACGGCCCAGACUCCUACGGGAGGCAGCAGUGGGGAAUAUUGCACAAUGGGCGCAAGCCUGAUGCAGCGACGCCGCGUGAGGGAUGGAGGCCUUCGGGUUGUAAACCUCUUUUGUUAGGGAGCAAGGCACUUUGUGUUGAGUGUACCUUUCGAAUAAGCACCGGCUAACUACGUGCCAGCAGCCGCGGUAAUACGUAGGGUGCAAGCGUUAUCCGGAAUUAUUGGGCGUAAAGGGCUCGUAGGCGGUUCGUCGCGUCCGGUGUGAAAGUCCAUCGCUUAACGGUGGAUCCGCGCCGGGUACGGGCGGGCUUGAGUGCGGUAGGGGAGACUGGAAUUCCCGGUGUAACGGUGGAAUGUGUAGAUAUCGGGAAGAACACC